AGCCACUCGCUCACCUCCUCCGGCAUCGGAGGGACUCAUGGCUGCGGUGGCCCCGCGGGGACGGCAGUGGAGCGAAUCCAAAGCGUUCGGUCGGGCGGUGAGGCUGCUGCAGCGCCUGGAAGAGCAAUGCGGGGACCCCCGGCUCGCCUCGAGUCCCCCCUCGCUGCGGGACCUGCUGCCCCGCACCGCGCAGCUGCUGCGCGAGGUGGCGCACGCCCGGCGGGCAGGCGGCGGAGACGGCCCCGAGGGUCCCGGUGGUGCGAAGGACUUUCUCGUGGUCUAUCUCGCUAACCUGGAGGCCAAGAGCAGGCAGGUGGCGGCACUGCUGCCACCCCGGGGCCGGAAGACUACCAACGACGAGCUCUUCCGGGAGGGCUCCAGACUCAGGCGACAGCUGGCCAAGCUGACCCUCAUCUUCAGCCACAUGUGCGCGGAGCUGGGCGCACUCUUCCCUGGGGGCAAAUACUGUGGACACACGUACCAGCUCACCAAGGUCCCGGCCCACACUUUCUGGAGAGACCAUUGCGGAGCCCGGUGUGUGCUGCCCUGGGCUGAGUUUGAGCUGCUUCUGUGCCUCUGCCACCCCGUGGAGCCUGGCUGCACCACCCUGGCCUUGCGCUCCACUAUUGACCUCACCUGCAGCGGCCAUGUGUCCAUGUUCGAGUUUGACAUCUUCACCAGGCUCUUCCAGCCAUGGCCAACACUCCUCAAGAACUGGCAGCUCCUGGCCGUCAACCACCCAGGCUACAUGGCCUUCCUCACUUACGAUGAGGUCCGAGCACGUCUGCAGACCUACAGAGACAAGCCAGGCAGCUACGUCUUCCGGCCCAGCUGCACUCGCCCGGGGCAGUGGGCCAUCGGAUUCGUGAGCUCAGAUGGCGACAUCCUGCAGACCAUCCCUGUCAACAAACCUCUGUUCCAGGCACUCCUGGAAGGACAAAAGGAAGGCUUCUACCUCUACCCAGAUGGGAAGAACCACAACCCGGACCUGACCGAACUCUGCCAGAUGAAACCCCAUCAGCGUGUCCACGUGUCGGAGGAGCAGCUGCAGCUGUACUGGGCCAUGGACUCCACGUUUGAGCUCUGCAAGAUCUGUGCCGAGAGCAACAAGGACGUGAAGGUGGAGCCGUGCGGGCACCUGCUCUGUAGCCGCUGCCUGGCUACCUGGCAGCACUCAGACAGCCAGACCUGCCCCUUCUGCCGCUGCAAGAUCAAGGGCCAAGCGGCUGUGAUUAUCCAUGAGCUCAAAGCCAGCGCCACUGCUGAGGACUCAGAGGACAGCAAUGACAACGGAGGGGAGCUGCAGCAGGUGACCCCCUCACCUCCUCCCCUGCCCCCUCGGCUGGAUCUGCCCCCUGAGAGUCCGAGAAGCAAAUACCAGCUGAAGGUGGCGCCUCUGGCACUCCCCAGACUUCGAGCCCCUCUAACCUUGCCAAGAUUUUGGACUGAGGCCUCAGCCUCAUUGGAAAUCACCUCCAGCCCCCAGGCCAGGGAGGGCACCAGAGGAAACUCCUAAAGGGAAAGUCUCCCCUCCAUCUGCCCCUGAGGGACCCACGAAGGCCUGGAUGCCAGAAUCCUCACCUAGAAUCUCAGCUGCUCGGACUCUUGAGGAAGGUGGAAGGCAGGGUGCUGAUGAGAGGGUGCCUAGCGUCCCAAGCAGUAGGUACAUGAGCCAGGGCCAGAGCAACAGGGGAGUGGGUGCCUGGGGUCACUGUGCGUAAGCUUGUCCCGGGGAGCGCUUUUGUCUACGCGCGAGUUUCCACGUGCGUCCUGCGAUGAUCUAGUGCGGGUGGGGUUUGCACGUGAGCCUGAGUGCUUCUGCGUUUGAGCCUUGCAAGCCUUCCCUGAGUGCCUGCUCCGAGUCUGGCCUUUGCAGGGCGGUGUUGGGGACACAACAGUGACCGAAACAGCCCUGGCCCUCCCCUAACCGGCUCCCGGUCCAGUGGGGGAGACAGACUUGUCCCCAGACAGAGAUGACCCAGAAUGUGCAGGGCUGGGGUGGGGGAGCCCAGAGGAGGCGCCUGACUCGGCCUAGGGGAGCAGAGAGGGCUUCCUGGAGGAGGGGAUGGUGCGGCUAAUACUGAAAGGUCACCUCUCCCAAUAUAACAAUUGCUCUCCUGUAUGGACAAGGUAGCCUUGACCAGCCUAACCAAUAACUCAGAGGCUGACCUGUAAUCUAAGACUUCCCUGGUGUCUGACCGGUGACCACCCCACCCCCAGCUGAUCAGAGGCCCGGGGAACCUCUCCCAGCAUGACCAGCUGCCCCCUAUUCUGACCAGUGUUGAGGGCUAGCUUCUCCCAGGUAACCAGUGAAAUCUCACCCCCGUCCCCCAGCCAGCAUCUAGGGAUUUUGUCCCAGUCAGGCCUGGUUUGUGAGGAGCUGUGCACAGUCUGAUCUGUGAUCCCAAGUCUGACCUGUGACCCUUCCUUCUGACCCA